ACCUCAUUUAUGGGUUGGUAGUGGAGGCAAGUGCAUCCCUUGCUAGAGAUUUCUUUCUACUUGAGGCCUUUCAAAGGUCUUUCUCAGACUUACCCAGGCAAUCCUCCAGCUUCCAUUACAUUGGCUAAAGUAACAUCAUUUGACCAGACAUCGUAUUGCCAUUUUCGGAGACCUAGGACCCCACAAAGCACCCUUCCCUACUUUCCCCGAAGUUAAUAAAUAUACGCAUGAUUCAAGAAAUGACUUUAUUAGGAAUACAGGACAGAAACAUGAUGAAACUACUAUAUUGGUGCAAAAUCAGUGGAAGAGUGAUAUAAACAUUCAUGUAUUCCCAAAGCCCUGAGAAGAGUGGCACAGAAAUCACCUCUAACUAUGGCUAGCUAUGGACCACAACUUAUGAAUUAAAGCUGAACUUCUGAGAUUUUCAUUGUAUACCUGGAAGAGGAGGAAUUAAUUGGUGAAAUCAUUAUUGACAGAGUUUUGAUUUUGAUGCCACUAUAAGGGAGGAUUCUUUGUGAAGUACAUUCUCACUCUGCAGUGACCUGUGAAUGUUGAAAAGAAAUCCUGAAACUAAUAAUCUUACAUAGUUAAUGAAGAGAUAAUGUUGUGCAUAAAUCUUUGCAGUUUGUCCUGCUACAAAGGCAUGUGGAAUUUCACAUUUAAGUUGCAGUUCAAAAGCAGACAUAAUGAGAAAAUAAAAAAGCUACCUAAUUUAUGUAAUAUUUAAUUUUCUGUAGGUUUCUAAAUUUAAACUUUCCAAGGCAUUGAAUAGAAGUCCUUAUACUCAUACUCUGGCUAUAUUUUAUCCUUACCUUUCAUUGGCCAGCAUGUUUUUAAAAAUAUCAUCAGGCCACAAGAGAUAGAGAUCUUUAGAAAAACUUUGCAGCUGUUUUAGGGGUAGCAAUCAUAUUUAUUUCUUGUACAGCUGUACUUUAAAAGGUACAGUUAAUUGAAAGGGCAUGUGCAGCAUAGGACAAGAUGAGACAUGUAUGGCACAAUACUCCUGGCACCAAUUUAAGAAGCUCUGCAGUCUUGGAUUGCUGCAGAACUACAUGCCGUGUCGGCCCUCACUAAUGCAGGUAACUGUAGAAAUCUAUUGUCACCACAGGAAAUCUAGGCCUGACACAAUUUUCAGUCAUAUUUAAUGCAACAGCAGAGAGAGACUUAUGCACAGCUUUCUAAUAGAUUAAGUAUUUCCUUGUCCUAUUUCUAUCUACCGAACGUUGACCUUUCAUUAUACAGUAUCUGCUUGCAGGCAAACCUUAAAUACAACUCCAAGGAAUUAUUAUCAUUGUUACACUUCUC